rnacentral:lncRNA from 1 species
AGGAGAAGUAGGAUAAGGGUACGGCUAAAGGCUAUACGAACUGGCCGUCUAGCACGUUCGGAACAGAGCGUAAAAGGAACAGGUUUCUGGGCACGAUAGCAUAGAUUCAAGGCAUAGUGUACAGACAAAGGGCCAGUCAAGGUGGAAGUUUGAAUUGAUCAUGACAUCCUUUGACCUGUGGGGGAGCAGUGAACUAUUCUCCUCUGGAGUAUGGGCCCUGAGAAACCUGAUCCACAGGAUGCCGACCACCCCUCCCUCCUCCCUCUAUGCCCACCCACCAGCUUUCCCGGCCUUUUCCUCCACCACACCACCCGCCCCCCCCUGUUCCCCGUACCCCUCCCCACCAUGCUCCCCAGGCCCUGGGGUGAAGGGGAUUGGAGGUUCCGGAGGGGUGACCCUGCGUUCUCCAGCCACUCGUCACCUCACCCACCUGGACCCCUGGAGGAGGCAUAGCUGGGAGCCUGUGGCUGUACUGACAGUGCAGCAGCAGGGGACGGAGCCCAGCGACAACCACAG